rnacentral:tRNA from 1 species
UCCCAUAUUGUCUAGCGGUUAAUAUACCUGGCUCUCAUCCAGGAGGCCCGGGUUCAAUUCCCGGUAUGGGAA